ACGGGGAAUUAGGGUUCAAUUCCGGAGAGGGAGCCUGAGAAACGGCUACCACAUCUAAGGAAGGCAGCAGGCGCGCAAAUUACCCAAUUCUAACAGCAUAAGAGAGGUAGUGACAAGAAAUAACAGUACAAGGCAGUUAAAAUGCUUUGUAAUUGGAAUGAUAGAAAUUUAAAUACUUUUUAAAGUAUCAAUUGGAGGGCAAGUCUGGUGCCAGCAGCCGCGGUAAUUCCAGCUCCAAUAGCGUAUAUUAAAAUUGUUGCAGUUAAAAAGCUCGUAGUUGAAUUUUUGCUAAAAAUAACCGGUCUGCUUUUAUUAAUAAAAGUGGUAUCUUGGUGUGUUUUUAGCAAUAAUGUCCUUUGAAAUGUUUUUUACUUCAUUGUAAAAAGCAAUUUUCAGGAUUUUUACUUUGAGAAAAUUAGAGUGUUUCAAGCAGGCUAACGUUUUGAAUACUGCAGCAUGGAAUAAUAAAAUAGGAUUUUAGUUCUACGUUAUUGGUUUUAAGAACUAAAUUAAUGAUUGAUAGGAGCAGUUGGGGGCAUUUGUAUUUAACUGUC
rnacentral:rRNA from 1 species